CCAUGUUCUACCCCACUACACAACAAAGAACAUGGCCGGUUAAAUAACCCAUGCGUCAUUCUUCUACUUCCUCUUCCAUUCCCUAAAUCUGAUUCUUUCACACAGCUAUUGAGUGUUAUUGCUAAAAAAAGCUUGAAUGCUUUUCUCCAUUGUCUCAUAGUCUUCACUUGUCACCAACAAACAAAUAGAAAAGAUAGACCCACUUCAGAUACAUCACUAUACUUCCCUUCUUCUAUCUUAGACACAAACUACAACACCUUGCUAUUUUCCUAUGGGAUAGUUCCAAGCACCAUAGCUCCGUUCUUUCUACCUGUCUUCGAUUGUUGUGUUUACACUAGACUCUGCCAUGAAAACCUCUCAACGUGCUUUGGUGGGCCUAUUUGUCUUGAUUCUCACACACUUCUUCAUUUGCUCUAUAGUUGCAAUCACUGGUGAAACUAGAAGUAAUUGGAUUCGCAGUUGUCCGCCACGGAAGCUGCUAGCUCGUGCCUCCCCUUGCUCUGCGAGUAUAGAAAAAUUGAAAAUAGAGUAUGAGGCCACUCAGAGACCAGUAACCACAAGUUUAAGGAAGAAUCCUCCAAGCAACUCAAAUCCAACCCAUAACAAGUGACUUUGAUCUCGUUUGUGUGUGGAGAUCUCAAUGGGAAGGAGAAAUUAAGUAUAAUUCAUCUCUUCAUUUUUGCAGUUUGUCCAGCUGGUAGUUGAAUAGGUAAAUCAAGACCCCCCCUUUCAAUAUAGAAGUUUCAGUCUUAUCCUAAGAUGAAGGAUACUAUACUACCCCCUAAACUGCUAUAGCUCCAAGAUGGCUGUGAUUCCUCCUGGAUCAAACACAAAGAAGGAUAAAUCUCUCUUUACACUCAGAUUCAACUUUCUAGGGGAGUGGAUUCGAGGAUGUGUGACAGUUACAUCAUAAUCUCCAUGGUGCAGUGA